UUCUUUUUGAAGGUCCUUUGUGACCUGCAAAAUUACACAUAUUCAGUGUUUUUGUUUGUAUUUUUGAGAUUGAGUAAUUACUAUCAAGUACUCUCGAAAUUUAUCAAUCGAUCCUUGGACUUUUUUGUUCCGCAGAGGGUGGCGGAGUUU
ensembl:ncRNA T06H11.14 ncRNA